rnacentral:rRNA from 1 species
AUUGAACGCUGGCGGCAUGCCUUACACAUGCAAGUCGAACGGCAGCACGGGUGCUUGCACCUGGUGGCGAGUGGCGAACGGGUGAGUAAUGCAUCGGAACGUGCCCAGUCGUGGGGGAUAACUAUCCGAAAGGAUAGCUAAUACCGCAUACGAUCUGCGGAUGAAAGCGGGGGACCUUCGGGCCUCGCGCGAUUGGAGCGGCCGAUGUCAGAUUAGGUAGUUGGUGGGGUAAAGGCUCACCAAGCCAACGAUCUGUAGCUGGUCUGAGAGGACGACCAGCCACACUGGGACUAAGACACGGCCCGGACUCCUACGGGAGGCAGCAGUGGGGAAUUUUGGACAAUGGGCGCAAGCCUGAUCCAGCAAUGCCGCGUGCAGGAUGAAGGCCUUCGGGUUGUAAACUGCUUUUGUACGGAACGAAAAGCCCCGGGUUAAUACCCUGGGGUCAUGACGGUACCGUAAGAAUAAGCACCGGCUAACUACGUGCCAGCAGCCGCCGUAA